CAGUAGCCGCGGGAAUACGUAGGGUGCAAGCGUUAAUCGGAAUUACUGGGCGUAAAGCGUGCGCAGGCGGUGAUGUAAGACAGUUGUGAAAUCCCCGAGCUCAACCUGGGAACUGCAUCUGUGACUGCAUCGCUGGAGUGCGGCAGAGGGGGAUGGAAUUCCGCGUGUAGCAGUGAAAUGCGUAGAUAUGCGGAGGAACACCGAUGGCGAAGGCAAUCCCCUGGGCCUGCACUGACGCUCAUGCACGAAAGCGUGGGGAGCAAACAGGAUUAGAUACCCCGGUAGUCCCUGUCUCUUAUAC
rnacentral:rRNA from 1 species